UCCAGGUAGAAGGCCAGGUGGUGGUUCAGU
rnacentral:piRNA from 1 species